rnacentral:rRNA from 1 species
GAAAUGCGAUAAGUAAUGUGAAUUGCAGAAUUCAGUGAAUCAUCGAAUCUUUGAACGCAUCUUGCACUCCUUGGUAUUCCGAGGAGCAUGCCUGUUUGAGUGUCAUUUUACAUAUCUCACAUGCCUACACUUGUUAUUGAGGUGCAGGAUUGGAUAAUGGGAGUUGCUGGUCACUGAUAAAGUGGUAGGCUCUUCUGAAAAGCAUUAAUGGGGGAAAAGUUUGGCACUCUAUUUGGUGUGAUAGAUCAUCCAUGCCUAGAAGUGCUUUAAUGAUCCUCUCCUGUCUUGAUUGGACAACCAAGAAAAACUUGACCUCAAAUCAGGUAGGACUACCCGCUGAACUUAA